rnacentral:lncRNA from 1 species
CUGCACCUUUAAGUCUGCAGCCGGUUGAGAAAAACAAGCUGUGAUUUAUAUAAGCGGGAAAAUCAUGUGAUUUGCAGGAACGCUCCCUCCUCCCUGGCCCCCUCCCCGCGUCGCCUCCAGCCCAUCCCAGAGGGGCCCGGCCGGCGGGGAGGGGCGGGGGCGCCCGGAGCCUCCAUUCACAAAGCGGGGCCGGCGAGCCGAGCGCGGCGGGGGCUGCGCCUAGUUCUUGCGGCCCCAGGCGCCAGGAAGGGCGGCCGAAGGCCUCGGAGCGCAGCAGAGUGUGCCUCCCCAACAGACUCGGGUCCUCCCAGAUGCAGAAACUGUAGAGCCAGCAAGACCCGAGGAGGUCAUCUCAGCCACCACCACCCCCACCGCUCUGGAGGAAUACACCAAGCCCUUCCAGGAAGUGCUUCCAGCGGGAGAGGAUUAGCAAUCACUUCCAAAACCAAGCCCAGGAGAAGUUGGGGCCUUUCUCAGGGAGAAGAGCUGGGAGGAGUGGACAGGAGACCUUCCUCUCCUCCACCAGCAUCCCGGCCCACGUCCAGCAUGUGCUGCCCCCACCUGCUGCUGCAUCGGCCUCACGUGUCUGCCAGGACCUCCCCUCUCAGAAGGCGAACCGGAGCCCCACAGCCAGCCGUAGCCCAGAGGGAAAAGUAAGAGGACACUUCUGCAGCAGGAGCCUUUCCUCCCGAUCACUGUCCUGUGCUGUCUGAUGUUCAAAACCAUCGCUUCAUAUAUCUUGUAUAACUUUUUCAUUGCUUCACGUGGGAGGAUGUGUCCAGAGCUCUCUGCCUGUACAAGGGCCACUGACAGAGGACCCCAGGCAUAUUCCUGGCCAGUUCAGCAUCUGGACAAGGCUGCCCCAGCAGGAUACCACCACAGCAUGGCUUGAUGAGCAGUGCUAGGUCCACAC